ensembl:lncRNA
GUGCCUUCUAAUAAAGCACAAAGCGGGCCCAGCGGUGAAUUAGCGCUUGUUGUGUUGGCGCUGGAAGCCAAACAGGCCCGGUGAUGUUGCUGUGUGAGCGCUGUGCGAGCGUGCACGCCUGCGUGUGCACGUGGGGGCGGGGAGCAGCGAGGCAUGCCUUUUGAACAGCAGGUGGUAAUUGAAACAAAACAAGGGCUGAUUAGGGAAGCGUCUGGCAACUCAUGAUCCAAACAGCGAGCUGCCGAGGAGCCCGAACACAAGAGCCCUGGAAUAAAGUGGUCAUCAUCUAAUUAACAGAACACAUUUUAAUUACAGAGUAAACCAAGCAGUGCAGUGUGUCAAUUUAACUGAUGUGUCUAACAGAGCUAAAUAAUACGACUGGUGUCUGCGGGGCGGAGCAACAACACGGCUUCAAAACUAUGCAGGAUCCAGGAGAUAACAUCUGCAGCAAAGGAGGAUGUGAGCACAGAAGCAGUACAGUGUCUCUCAAUAGAUGGAGAGAAGAAGCUGCAUCGACGCCCCGGAAUGUUUUCUUGCAGCGCUUUUCAGUGUAAGUGAAGUAAAACAUCUACUGUUUAAAUACUGGCAGGAAAACAGAUGGAACUAUUGCCAAUACUUCUUAUGCUUAAUGCAUUGUAACAUACAUAUUUAUUAUUAUUUACAAAUCUGGUUUAGAGAUCUGUAAGAUAUAUAAAUAUAUAUAGGAAUCAUUUUUAUUAUUACAUUUUUUUUGCACAUCUGUUUUUGAAACAUUCUUUCAAAGCAUAAUUCUGACAAUUAUUAGAAGUCUUGUCCAGUGAAAUGUGUGUGGAGGGUCAGUUUUAUCUGGCCAUGUCAGUGUAUCACUAAAUCUGCAGAUGUUCCCAUAAUAUUUUAUCCAUCUUUAUGGACAGUGGUAAUAUUAAUAAUGUCUCUAAGUUAGUGAUUAAUUCACAUGAAGGCUUUUAUUUUGAAACACAAACAUCUUCCAUUACUGUGUCGCCCUGAAAACAAAUCCAUCCAGUGAAAUACUGCUUAUCGAAAGAUUGCUUGUGAUUUUAUAUUGUUUCCAUUAAAUCUUCGCGUUUGAAGGCCUUAAUUAAUAAUCCACUUGACAUUUAUGCUUUCCAGCAAUAAGCUAAGGAAGAAACGAUUUAUGUCACCUAAAGCUUUUUAACAAAUCAGUGCAACUAUUUGUAAUUGCUUGUUUCACAAGAUUAAAAGUGCUUAGAGUUGAUCUCUGUCUCCUGUUUAGUGGCCAGCGUGACCUGCGCCUCCAUCGUAAAAAACCCAAGUCCUGGUCAUCAGCAUUAGCAACGCUCACCAAAUCCAUAUUGCUAUUAUUCCUGGAAUUUUAAUGCUGUUACAAUUUAUAGCUGAUCAAAUGCAGCGACCUAAAUUGCUGUUGGGAAAAGACAGUUUAACUGUCUCAUUUUAAUUAGGAUAUAAUUUAAUGCUGGGGUUGAGAUGACAGUCAGUCACAAACACAGGUCUGUGUUAAAAUGGGUCCAUGGGCUAAAGACCAGACUUAAAACGGCGGCUCAGUAAGAGGCAGAUAUGACGAGAGACUGCGAGGAGUGAUCUGAACAACCAGCAUUUUAUUGCAUGUUUAGAAUGCUCACGUCAGUCAUCGCCACUGACUACAACAGAGUGGUCUGCACCAAGACAGACGAGGAAUGAUGAGGAGGUUACAGACUGAUGGAAGUGAUGAGCAACAAUAUUUCUCUCUUUAAAAAAAAAAACUGGGAAAAAAACUACAGAGUACAUCUUCAAAGAAAAAAAAAAAGAAAAACUAAAAGCUUCUGCAGGAUGAGAAAGCUGUGACAGCUCCUGGGCUGCCCUCCCCCCCUCCACAUUGGAAGAAACCAGAGUGUGAUGCGAGACAGGGAGAGCGAGGGUGACGGAAUGACAGCGGGAUGGAUGGUUGGUGAUGGAUGAAACAACGGCGUGUGAUGUCGGGGAGAUCUGACGCCGCGCGGCCGCAGCUCGCGAGGCGUCGCGGUCUCCGACCUAUGACCUGUCUCCGCUGUGCUUGGUUUGACUCAUUUACAAGAACCCUCCAGAUAAAAAUAUAAAUAUCCUGAUGCCAAAGAAACGAGUGUCGUCUGCGCGACGCCGAUGAAAAAGGACACGGCUUUGAUGCAUGAGUGGAAAUUAACAUCUCCAACAAAACCUUAAAAAAAGACAGCAUUAACAAUAUUCUUUACAUCUUGGCACUGCAUAUUUUUCUUCUUUUUCCUAUUCAUUUCAUAUAAAAUAUCAUUAGAUCGAUACACCCUUAUAUUAUUACUGACCACUUAAACCAUACCCCUCUCAUCUCGGCGACCCUGGGAUUAGUCAUGCAAGACGUGGCCACCCUGUAGGUGGAGAUAUACCUGUGUGCCCUUUUCUGGGAGCAGUAAUCUUUCCAUACAGCCACAGAAGGCAGUGGUUGGACCAUUAAAAGGAAGUAUCAAAAAACAGCUUAACACAAAGAGGGGAGAAAUCUGUACAAAAUGCAUCGGUCAGUGAUAACAGAGCAAAGUCUGUUUUCUAUAAUACAGUUUAAAAUCCAAAAUGGGGGAUAAUCCUCCCCUGCGCCCACCCCCACCCAGCCUGCCCCUGUCCAGCUCAACCCGAUGGCUGCGAGGAUGAUGAGAUUUUUUUUUUCCCAUUUUUUUAAGCAAGGAUUACUAAGUAAAAUACAUUUGUAGCACAGUUUGCUAUUCCGAUACAUACAGCAGUUUUUUUUCUUUUCUCAUAGCUAUUUCAUAGAUAAUACAAAGCAGUGGUGAUAAAGCAAACAUUAUAACACAAAUGUAUUUUUUGAUCUUUUUGAAAAAGGAGGGGGGGGGGGGGUAGAGGACAGAAAAAAGACAAAGGCUAUACUGACAUGUAUGUACAACCUAGUAUUGAAACACCCUUAACACGACCCAUCAGUACAGGACAGACUUCGACAGGAUGAACGGUGCCACACACAACUGGGUGAUAUUUCUAUGAACCAGAAGGCCGAAGGUUUGAAUUUGUUUGGCUUUAAAAAAAAAUGAAACCUUUAAGAUAAACAAGCUCUAAUUUCUUUUUUUUCACUUCGCAUCUCUUCUCUAUAGCAUCAGACUACACAUGCAACACACACGACUAAGUGCAACCGAGUGAAAUGUUUGUUUCUUUUCCUCGUUUAAUUGAAUCAUUCCCUAUAGGUUUGAACUGAGGUAACGCUUUUCUCAUGCUGUUAUCUUUAGUAAUGUCAAGCUACACAUGCUGAGAAUGUUCUAAUCUACCAACUCUUUGCCUCCUUUCUGAAUACCAAACAAACCGUCCGAAUGCUGUGGGGGGGGGGGGGGGGGGGGGGGGGGGAUGGAUGAGCUCGGGCCUGUUCUCACGAUCCUAGCCUGGCUGGACCUGACCCGUCCCACAGCUGCCUGGAUAUUAAACGUCUUAUGGAAACCACAGUGUUGCCCUUUUUUUCCUUUUUAGUUAAUGAGCAGUGAGCUUAAAAUCAUAACAACAACAACAAUAACUGCCAUAAAGUACCUUGUACCCAGCUUAAUAGUUGACAGGAGUGUUUUUUAAUAUAAAAAGUAAUAAGAUGACAGAAACUCAACACAAUCAUAAAGUCUUGCCGAUCUUAAAAAAAAGACACUAAAACCCUCCAAACGUUGCAUACAAUCAUUGCAGAGGAGACACGUGUUUAAAGAAUAGAAGAAGAACAGCGUUGAAUCAUUGUGGUCCAGUUGAAGUAGAGAAUCUGUUUCACAUUGUUCCCUCCCAGAAUAUUUUUACUCAUCGAUUUUAUCUACUUACCCUUUAUUACAUAGAGAAAUCUGCUGCUGACCAAAAAGCUCCCUUUUCCGCUCGCCGGCCCAAAAAAACUAAAAGAAAAAUGUUUCCUAAUUUGGUCAUCGUGUAGUCAGACUCGACUCGUCCCCAUUUAGAUUUGGUCACUGCAAAACUUGAACUGCAGCAAGUCUCGACGCCCCCUUUGGUUUUUAGAAAAGAAAAGAAUGAGAACCACCAGCCGGAGGAGCACUGGCCUGGCUGUAGACGGCCACGGGCCGGUGGCGGCCGCCGGCUCAUUUUUGCCAGGCAGGAAGGGAGGGAGGAGAGAUAUUUGGCCUCAUCUGCUAUUGCAUGGAUCACACACAACUUUGACUUUGUGGUUUAUCUUUGGUAGACACAGAACGAGAUAUUAAAACACAUCAACAACGUAAAAAAAAGCCAAAUAACACAUGAUAGUAAUAAAAUUAUUAUUAAUAAAUAGAAAAUGAAAAGU